rnacentral:rRNA from 1 species
UACGUAGGGUGCGAGCGUUGUCCGGAAUUAUUGGGCGUAAAGAGCUUGUAGGCGGUCUGUCGCGUCUGCUGUGAAAAUCCGGGGCUCAACCCCGGACUUGCAGUGGGUACGGGCAGACUAGAGUGCGGUAGGGGAGACUGGAAUUCCUGGUGUAGCGGUGAAAUGCGCAGAUAUCAGGAGGAACACCGGUGGCGAAGGCGGGUCUCUGGGCCGUAACUGACGCUGAGGAGCGAAAGCAUGGGGAGCGAACAGG